UACGUAGGGGGCAAGCGUUGUCCGGAUUUAUUGGGCGUAAAGAGCGUGUAGGCGGCCGUACAGGUCAGCUGUGAAACUCGAGGCUCAACCUCGAGACGUCGGUUGAAACCGUACGGCUAGAGUCCGGAAGAGGAGAGUGGGAAUUCCUGGUGUAGCGGUGGAAUGCGCAGAUAUCAGGAAGAACACCCGUGGCGAAGGCGGCUCUCUGGAACGCAACUGACGCUGAGACGCGAAAGCGUGGGGAGCAAACAGG
rnacentral:rRNA from 1 species